AUCUGUUUCCUAAGAUCUCUUGAGACCGCCCCAGCCCCGAGACAAGCAGCCACCGAGAUCCGAGAUGAGCCGCCUCCGCUGAGGAACGGGAGGAGCCGCCGCCUCGAGGUCGUCGUUGUGCCACACCGCCGCCUCCAGGUCGCCGCUGUCACACACUGCCUCAGGUACGUUGACCACUCCUCUCCUCGCCACUCCUCACUGCCAGCCCCGCAAAGCUUUGCCUCCACGGCGGGGAUUCACUCUAUGGCGUCCAUGAGAGGUGGCUGCAGCCGCCAUGGUGUUGAUCCGGUCCUUGCUGCUGGAUCCGGCCCUCUCCACUCCUCCUCCCGGUCCGAUCCAAUGGCGACCGCACGACAUCGACCUCCCGGAUGGCGUGAGGUCCCAGCGGCAACGUCAGGCCCCUUGCGGUUGGGGUCGAUUUGAGGUGGCUCCGGUGGAAACAUGGACCACGUCACACUGUUACAGGGGCUCCCGAGGCGACAUCCAGUUGCUCCGUGCGCGGGGAUUAUUUUCACCUCUGUUUACUGUUGCGUUUAUUUUGCAGGCCAAAAACAGGUGAGCGAAUCGGGAUUCAACCGUGCAAGAUUUUUUGCGAUGAUGUUGCUCCAUGUUCUUUUUGUGAUUCAGGUGUUCGUUUUGCACAUGUUCAUAGUGGGCAACCUCGAGGUCUUCGUCACUUCGAGCGCGGCGAGAUCCUCGAGGUCGUCGUCAUCACAGACAAGGGCACUGGUAGAUCCAAUGGCGGCGGAUUCGAGGCGGAGGCGGCCAUUAGGGUGUGCUUGAGUCCGUACCCGAUGAUUGGUGGCUGAAGGGUAACUGCAACCUCGCAUGCCUCGGGUCCAGAGGUCCAAGGCACCACAACCAACUGCCUCUUCAGACAUAUGAUGGGUGUCCGUGUUGAACAUAGAAGAUGGUUGCCCUUCAAGCAUCAACAAAUUGGAAAUUUCAAGCCCUGAUGAGAUUACAAGCAGGGCGGAAAGGGAAUCAACACCAUCACGCCAAAACAUUGAAGUGUAUUUCCGAAAAUGAUAAUUCCUACGAUUCAAAGUUUUUGGACAAAGGUUCAAACUCGAAGGACGACUGCCGUAGUAGGAUGAAGAAAUGAUGUCGCGCACUGGAGGGUGUUGCCGUCGGCCAUGCGUUAGGUGUCUGUUCUACUGGAAGUCGCUCCCAGGAGGGCGUCCAUGGUCUAUGCCUCGAGAAGCAAAGAAGGGACUCCAACUACAUCAUUGACGCAGCAGCCGAGCAGAGCAUGAAAGCAUGUCGUUGAUACAAAUAUUCAGUUGCCACGGCCAUUGAUACAAUAGCGGGGCAGAUCAUGAAUGUCAGAGACACGGUGGAGGUGACGCUACCUUUCUCGUCUUGGCAUCAUGCAGAUACUGGUAGUUUAGAUGUUAUUUGCCACACUGCGGAGAUCUCAUGUUCAAGCCCAUCGAAAGUGCAGAAUUUUGGUUGAUGUAAAUGAUUUUACUUGAGCAGACACUUCUCCUCCCGUCUCAUUUACCAUCAGUAUUGGAAUUGGAUGUCGUUCCUAUUACACAACAAAAUGGGCAAGGUUAGGUUGCAGUUCAGUGUGGCAUUCUGGCAUAUGUUUCGGGGUACUGGAGGAGAUCCUUUUGGUGCACCUACAAAGAACUGGCCUUGGGAUGAUGGCCCAAAUUCCCUGGCCAUGGCUAAGAGAAUAAGUAUGGGAAUUACCUGAUCUUGUGUCUUAGGUCCAUGGCUGGAAUCAACAACUUAAUUAUGCUUCGAUUUCUGUUUCGGUGAUAUCUCAAUUCGAGUUCAUGAAGAAGCUUGGAGUUGACAGGUGGUGCUUCCAUGACAGGGACAUCGCCCCUGAUGGCAAAACACUCACGCACAAGGAAUAUGGUUGUUGAUGGUUUACGCCCCGGCUGCGCCCACAUCGUCCAGACACCAAGUUCAAGACCAAGUUCUAACCCCUGUACCCAAUCUACCUCCAUGGAUCGUGUCUCUCACUAACCAAGAGCAUCAAUUCAACUCAACAGAUUGACAAAAGAGAUGAACCUAGAGUUUGAGGCUUGGGUAGUGUGGACAUUGACCUGAUGAUGAGUGUUGUAUGGUGGUCAAGUGGUGCCAUUUCCCCUCGCCACACGCUGCUUAGUGUGCUCUCUGUUGGUGUUUGGCUGCUGCUGCUACUGUAGGUCAAGGGCAUGCUAUGAUUACUUUGGUGGAGACAUAUUUAAGAAUGGUGUUAUCACUGAAUGCCUUGAUGUCUGCCAAGAAGAAGGGAGCAAGCGGCAGAAGAUUAUGAUAUUGUUGCUAUUGGGAGAAAGAAAGAAAAGGUAGUCCAUGGUGGGCCACAUCCUACAUGGCGGAUCGACCAUGCGCGUCUAUGAGCCUCAUAUACUCCCCAUAUUUCGUGUCAAUGUGAGAAUUUGCGGAUAGCCUGGACCAGGGAUGAUAUAAGGGGUCGGGUUGGGUUACCAUUUUCCUUCUCUCUCCCGUGCAGUCAAUGAUUGGGCGUGUCCAUAGAUUUGAGGGGACCAGCUGGAUGUGCUCUAAGAUUAUUGUGUUUAAUAAUAUGAUGUGUGUUAGCCAA